CCCGAAGGAACACCCAUAGCCUGCCGAUGAUACCGAAGGAACACCCAUAGCCUGCCGCGCGGGUUUGCCCGCCGCCGUGCCGCGGCACCCAGCGACUCGAAGGCUUCGGACACCCGGGCUCGCGCAGCUCUCGUUUCCCUGUACCCACCUGCUCGGUUGGCCUGAGCAAAACGCGCGGCGCACCGUACGCCGAAGAGGGUGCGUACGAGCACAGGGCGACGGCGGCCGGUGGGUGUGCUCCGCAUGCAGUGGGACCUCGGAUGCGGCCGUCGGGCGACAAAGUGGCCGCCGCUGGCGAUUCAAGGGAGGUGGUCGACUGGUCGGGCUAUAGCUACGAGCAGCUGGGGCGCGACGUGCGCUCCAGCAACGGCGGUCAGAUCCAAUUGUAAAUUUGUAGUGUACCUUCAGCAUUUCUGGGAUAAGUUUUGGCAUCAGUUUGGCAGCAAAAUUGUUCCAGAAUGUAUCUGGAACGGCUGGAUGUUGACACCUACCUGCCGAUUGAGUCUACAAUUGGGGGAGUCGGGCACAGUAGAUCCAACAAUGUCAGUACCAAUUUCAUUGCAUUGCAGUUGACAACUCUAUGGCGAGUCGCCCAAUCCUCUGGUCCAUGGUCGUGGCCGCCGUCGGCAGCUCAGUCCGGUGCUGGGACUGUGCAUGCACCUGCGCCGGUGAACUGUGGGCUGUCAAAAGCAGCCUAGUUCGUUAGCCGUCACCAUCGACAGAGACAUCCAUGACCACGCGCGGCUGCAAUCCUUGAAAACUGUUACAUGUUAGAAAU